AGCAAUGACAAAGGCUGUUCAAAGUGCUGAGGAACCAAGGAAAUGUACAUAUUUGGCUUAAUUCAUAAAACUGUCAUUGAAGGCCAGCUAAGAAGACGAAGAUUUUUGUCCAGGAUCUGCAGCUGUGAGACCACAGAAAGUUUGUUGACUCAUGACCUAGAUGACUGCAAGAGCCUACAAUGAAGUCCCUCUGCAAACAGAAGCAAAAGGCACAGUCUGCUCCUCCUAAAGCAAGUCCACAUCUCUACUCCAGAAAAGAGCAAACUAUUUACAACUAUUUAAAUACAGCCUUUUCAUCUUAAAAAUUACAUUAAGUUUCUGGAAUUCUGAUAUACCCAAUUCCAAGUAAGCAUGCUUUGAGCUGAAUUGAGCCUUUAGGAGUUGGAAUAUUUGGGACCUAGUCCCCAACCAAGUCUUCAGGACUUCUCAAAUAAUUAAUUCAGGCCAUACAAGAGAUUUGGUGAAUGAUACAGAGCAGUAGAAGUCCCAUAAAUGGGGGAAAGAGAAGACAUAGGGGUUACAGGAGAGGAGAGAAGGGUAUUGUUAGGGAAGUACAUGAAGUCAUAAAGUAGCACUUACUGAAGACCUGGGAUUUUCUAAUUAAGCCCAAGCAAUUCUCCUGAAUUCAGUUCAAUUUAUGGGUUCGUAUGCUAAAGAAAAAAAAUAUCAAUUCAUCUUGAUACUAUUUUGAUCAUUAUUUCCACAGGAAAGAUUUCCAACAUUCUUAUUCAGAUUGAAUUUCAUAGUAAAAUACCUACUUCAAAAUUAAUGCCCAUAUGAUUUUUGAGUAAUUUUUACUACUUAUACUUAAGGAAUAUUUUUAUAUUGUUUUCAUUGAAAUGGAAGUUAAAAUAAUCCAGAAAGAAGAAAUUUAAAUAUACUGAUAGCUGCCACAAUGCUAAAACCCUCAGCUGAACAGCCACAAAGAAAGGAAUACUGCUAACAACCUGAAUGGGGUUGGACAUUGAUUCUUCUCCAGUCAAACUUUCAGAUGAAAACACAGCCCAGCCGACACUUUGAUUGCAGAGUGGGAAUCUUUCCUUUUGCACCUCUAUAGUCAGUAGGGCCUAGGAUAUCAUACUCAAGGGUAGUCAGUUUUUGUUUACUGAGUAAAUGUAUGGUGCAAAAAGCUGUUGGCUUAAGAUCUAGACCUUAAGCAGAGAACUAACUAAGUCUUUGCUUACACUUCUAAUCCACAGAAACUAUGAGAUAAUUGUGUUAUAUGUUAGCUGUUAAAUUUGUGGUGAUUUGUAACAUAACAAUAGAAAACUGAUAUACUGGGCAACA
rnacentral:lncRNA from 1 species